CAAACACACACACACAAAAAAAAACCAAAAACAAACAAACAAAAAAAACCACAAAAACAAACAACCAAAAAAAAACAAAACAAAACAAAACAACAAACAAACAAACAAACAAACAAAAAACCACUUUUAUAUUAGGAAGCCUGUUCUAGUGUUUGACCACCCUUGUGGUAAAGAAAUUUUUCCUAUUGUCCAGUCUGAACCUACCUUGGAGCUGCUUUGUGGAAUUCCCACACAUCCUUUCAUCAGUCACUGGGGAGCAGAGACCAGCACCUCCCACUCCAUUUCACCUCCUCAGGAGAUUUCAAAGAGCAGUGUGGUUGUCUUUUGGCCUCCUCUUCUGCAGACUGAACAACCCAACUGUCCUCAGCCUCUUCUCUGCCUCUAACCCUGUUACCAGCACUAUAGCCCUCCUCUGGACACUUUCAAGUAUCUUAACAUCCUUUUUACAUUGUAGAGCCCAGAAAUGCACACAAUAUUCAGAUGAGACUACAGCAAUGCUAAAUAUAAUGGAAGAAUCAACAUGUUAAAAAUUAUUUUUAUUACAAGUAUCAUGUUUUUUAUCAUAGAGUCAAUUGCUUCUUAUUAGUGGGAAGGUUUUCCUAGUGAUACUGUUAGUAACAAUUUAUAGACAGUUAUUUGUAAGGCUGACAUCCUGACUUUGCACCUUCCUGAUUGCAUUGGCCAGUUUGGCAAGGCAUUUUGUGUAUCCAGCACAUCUUUUGUUUUAACUAAACUUUUCUUUGGUUUUAUUUUAUGUGGGUUUAUUUUUACAUUCUCUUAACACAUUUUUGUAUGUAGUGUCCUAUUUUUUAAUCAUAGUUCACUUGCAGCAGCAUCAUUUUGCAAUCAUCUUGACAUUUGUAAUGUCAACUCUGCAGACUUGCAUUAACCUCAUUUUGCCAUCAUCUUGAUGUACUAACCUGUAUAUAGACCUGUGCAAAAAUAAUUUAACAUUCAUCUGAGUUUGUGCAGUAAUGUCUCAUUAGACUUGAACUAACGGAAUUUUGUCAUCAUAAUUUGCUGUCAUAAUAACACAGCCUUCACAGAUUUAAUGUGACAGUCUUUUGCCACUGCAACUAAGGCUUUGAGCAGUUGUCAUCCAGGGGGACUUAAGGUGAAAUCCAUGUAAUUAAAACACACACUCUUAAUAGUCCUAUAUUUUAAGCCAUUUUUCACAUAUCUUAAACAAUAAUUAAUCAUGCUAAAGUUUAGCACUUGUUUAGCUUGUUUUCUUCAUUUUCUACAUGGGAAAGAAAAAAACAUAGUUGAAUGAUGAGUGACUGGCAGAGCUGCUAAUGGAAUUUAGGUCUGCAGAUUGUCUCUGUACUCUUGUAUCCAUUGGACUUCUCUCCUUUAUCUGCACAAUUAAUUUUGUUUGAGAUGAAUACAAAUUUGAAAUGUAUGUGACAGGCUGUGUUAACUAGUCUGUAACUCUCGUUUUGGAGUGCUACAGAAUACUGAGGUGAGAGAGAUUAGAUUUCUUCUACUGCAAGGGUUGAGAUAGGCCAAAUGUACUUUGUUACACUUGAAAGAAUUUGUUGAACUUUUUCAUAUAAAAUUCCACUAAAGGGGACAACAUCCCUGUACAUAUGUUUUCAUGUAUGUAAGCGAUCUGGUACUCUCACCAUUUAUCUUAAUACCAAAUGUAAAUUGGCUUUACCCAAAUAAUGUCCCUCUCCACAGCACAUGUGAAAAAAAUUACCCUGGAGUGUUGCUAUUUUGCAUGCUGAAAGGAAGCAGUUAUAUAUCCCGUUGCCUUGCCUUUCCAGACUAAACACAUGUCAAUCCUUCAGUCUUUUCUCUGCAAAGAAACCUUGACUAUUUGGUGUCUGUAAUGCUAAGUGCUCUCCUAUUUGUCUGUGGCUUUCAUAGUGUCAUAUCAAAAUUGUCCAUGACUGAACCACUGACUGGAGCAGAGUAAAACUAGGGAAGUACACGAUGGGUGAGAGGAGUACUUCUUAAGCAGCUGGAGGCCGAGUUGUGUUUCCCUACAGAAGUCUGUGUUUAUGUUAGCAGCAAACACAUUUGCUAUGCAAAAUGACCUUGAGUUGUUCUUGGCAUAGCUGAUACAGCUUGCCUGCCGACUUAGGUGAAUUCUCUGUCUCCUAUGCUAUGAUUGCUGACUCUGGUUCACAAUUAACUCUCAGUUCCUUAUUGAUAUUCUUUGCAAUCAGCUUGGCAUUUGUCCUCUCCUCCUUAUGUAUUGUAUUUGCUUUUGUUCUUUAAAUACCCGCUUCUUUUCUGAACUAAAUUUGAUUUUGUUUGCAGUUGUUUGUUUUUAGCCAGAGGAACUUCUUUGCUUCUUAAUGGCAGGUAGGCACCUAGACAAUGUUUUCAACAUCUUCCAAUUAUUGUCCAUGUUUUUCUGCUUCAAUUUUCUCCUUAUUGAUUAAGGUUUGUAAUGUGAAAUUGGCUCCUUUUAAAAGAUGUAUAGAAAUGGACAUAUAUAUUUUACCAGCACCUGUGUGCACAUGGUGCCCUGGUAAUGUUCAUCCCUGCAAGUGUGCACACAAAAUUGGUUAGUAUUUCACUAUUUACAUGCAAUGUGAGUAAGAAAGUUAUUUGUAUUUAGGCAAUCACUGCUUGUGGAGUCUGGGAUCAGUUCCACUGUAGAUACUGAUGCUGUAUACAGACUUCCCUUGCGGGAGUUGCAACAGCUUUCAUGAUUGGGUACAUUUUACCUGAAUUUUGGAGCUACUUUGCAAACAUAACUUUAUGGAAAGUUUUUUUCUGCCAAGAUAGGGGCCCAGGUGCGACAUGCUGUCUCACUUCUGGUCCUUGUGCCCAGAUUUUCUUCUUGGGUUUUGAGAAGACGGAGAGAAGAGGGGUAGUCUUACCUUGGUUUCUCAUAUUUGGAAGACACAACCAUGGGUGGGUCAACAAAAGAGAAAGGUGAGAGCCAGGCCCUUUCCCCCAGAGGGCACUUUGGAGCAGGAGUCUCUCUGGAGGAUCCUCUUUGUAGAUUAUGUGGGAUGCUUAUAGUGGUUGAACUGAGUUACAUGCCUAACACGCGUAGAGAAAGGGAUAUUAGUUAAUAAGAUGUUCUCCCUUCUGGUCAUUUGAGCCUCUCUGGAGGAUGAAGAACAGAUAGGUAUAACUAGGUAUAACUGAGUAAUUUUAAUUCUUCUUCAUUACUUCAACUCCUACCAUCUAUCAGUAAUUUAAAUCUCCUUCUUCUCCUCUUUAUACUCUUAAUAUUAGUGUGUGGUUUUUUGUUUGUUUGUUUGUUUGUUUGUUUGUUUUUAAUUUGCUAUCUUUUCUUAUGGUUUCCUUUUGAUGAUUCAGUGCAUCUCCUGAGCACUCUGGUCCAAGAGGCUCCCGUUUAGACUGAUUUCACUUCUGCUGCAGUGAAAGUUUAUGAAAGUUGGAUGAUUUACAGGAUUUGAGAAUGAAGAUCUACCCAAUACAAGCUGUUACGUGUAUAGGAAAUGGAGGCAGCAAAUCCUGCCCUGCUAAAUCUGCUUGGGACCUUGCCCCGAAGAGAGUUUCCUUAAAAACAGACCAACAACAACAACGAAACAAUGCUACUCCAUCUUUAGUUGAAGCUUUCCAAAACAUGUAGUGAUGUUACUUUUCUUAAAACUGGUAAGAAGGGUUUCCAGCUAGAUGGUCUCCAAAAAGAGGAUGACCCUAUUCCAAAUCAGCUGCAGCAUGAAGGAGAUCGAUUGCUCGGGAAGAGCAUAAAAACUGUUAUGAAAUAAUAUGCUGGUCCAUAUGUUACAGAGCGGUUUCAAACAGAAGUAUUUCAUGAUAUAGAAAUGUGUAGAGUGGAAACUGGAUGGUCUAUGACAGCCACUUGCAUGUGAAAAGGCUUUGCCUUAUACUGCAUUAUCUUGACUGCUAAUUUUCAGGCUAUAAAGUGGUUAAUAUCUGCUACACUGGAAGACAAAACUUACUGCUUUCUUUAGAAUUAAAAGCAAGUGCUUUUUUGUUUGUUUGUUUUUGCCUUUCUCUUUCUGUGGUCUGCAAAUCAAAUAAACAUACGGAGAGAAAAAAGAAAAAAAAAAUCCUUGCAACCUGUACUAGUAAUUUCUACAUUUUGAAGUAAAAAUAGAAUGAAAAAUGAAAGUAAGAAUUCUGCUUCAGUUACUCAUGUUGGAAAGACUUUCUUUUUCUUUUUUUCUUGCUGAUUUCACAGGAAAAUCAGAAGCUUUGUGUUUACUUCUGUUGUGAUAAAGCUGUUGAUUUUUUCCCCUCUGUUGCUGACAUGCAAGUGAUUUUUCUUAUUACAGGAAGUGAAUAAUAAAAAGACUCAGAGCCAAUAUACCACCAGGGCAAAACCACAUGCUGUGCAUUAGUGCUUAAAAGAUUCCCAUCCCACUUUUCUCUUUGCAUCAGUCCCAGUCCCUACAGCUAAGCACUUCUUCCCACGCAGAUAGAUGUGAUAGAUUUGCAAAUACUGGCAAGAGCAUAGAGAGAUCAUAUUAUGAGCCUAAUGGUUGAACUGAGUGACAGACUUGGACUGCUUUAUUUUUCAUUUUUUUUUAGGUCAGAUUUGGCACAAAGUUAAAAACAGGGUGGAAUAAAGUUUGAAAUGUUUUCUGAAAUUAUAAUCAAAAUAUUAUGUCUUAGGUUUAUUCUCUAAGCACUCUGCCUGAUGUUGAGUUGUGUUGGCAAACAACAUUUGCCAUUGGGAUGUUUGAGAAGUCAUAAGAGGUUUGUAAAUCAGUUUCACACGGCAUGUUACCUAUUUGUUAUUUUCUUGUUUGAUUUGCUAACAGGAAAAGAGAUGCUGUUAGGUGGUAUAAAUGGCAAUAUGGUGUGCUUUUGUAUUUAUUUGUAUCAUAGCAAAUUACAGUGAGAUGGAAGAUUAGUUACUCUGUGGAGGUUGUUAACAUGAAGUUCUUAUUUGAUUUAUUUAUGUCUAAUUGGGGACCUGUCCUCCCAUGUAAAUUACUCUGGCUACUGUUUUAUUUCUCAAGUCAAGACCAUAAUUUUCCACUUGUGUCUUUUCUUAACAUUCCUGAGUUUUGAUGUAGCCCUUUAAUAUGUUAUAGGAGAAGGGGACAACCUGAGAAUGGGAUUCAUAUGUCCGGUGUGAGCAUUAACCCUUAUCUUCAAGUCCUAAUCUCUCUCUGGUUUAUCCUGCUGAGACGGUAAACUUGGCUGCCAGACUUACAUGUUGAAAUCCACUUCUUUUCUAGGGUCACACUGAUAUAUGCUGAAUCCGAUCUCCUAAAUGGUGCCUGGACAGACAGUUUAUUGUUGGGCCUUGUUUUCAAAUUGUUAUUGGGUUCUUCUGAAUUGUCUCCAGUUUUGCAUUACUGUCAUGCUCUUACCAUUAGAAAAGAGAUAUUCUCAACUUUAUCAGCACUUCUGUUUUGAAAGGACUUCUCAAGCAGCAAAAUAAACAGCCUCUGUAUGAAGUAUUUGUUAAUGGAUAGCUGAAAAUCACCCUACCUCUUUCUGCAAAACAGAUGAUUUUCUUUCAUUUAACCCAUUACUGUUUGUGAAAGAGGAAGGCAACGUUAAAUUAGAGCUGCAGCUAUCAUUUGAAAACAAAACAAAACAUCUUCAUUGUUCUAAAUUUUCUAGAUUGCCCACCAUCCCUGUAACUGAGGCUUGCUCCUAUCCCCUCUUGUAGCAAGGGCCUUGCAAUCUCUGAGCACUCAGCAGAGGUGCUGCCAGCUGGAGCCUGCUCCUUACAGCAUCUAGAGGGAAUGGUGAGACAGGCAGCCUCCAGGGAGGCUUCCAGCACUGGAUGGGUAACCAGAAAUUACCUGACACAGAUAUACAGCAAGGCUAUGGCUUGCUUUCUGUUUUUGAAGAGAGCCAGAGCUUUUAAUGCUGGUUCAGAAAACAAAAACAAAACAAAACAAAACUAUAAACAAGCAAGGGUGGUGUGUCAAAAUCAUAAAUUCAGUUCCACAUUAUAGAUGGAAUAUAUAUGUAUACACCAUGCUGGCCAGUAGGCCCAGACAGAUGCAUAUAAAAUUUCUCAGUAGAGUUGAAGUUUCUGUGUAUAAACCGAUGCUGAAAGUAGACUUUAAUUUUAAAAGCUUCUCAAUUUUCUUUACCCCCUAAAAAACAAACAAACAAACAACAACAACAACAAAAAAAUACACAAAACCACAGUUAAAAAGACAGUAGGUUUGACCACUGACUUUUGUUAUUUCUCUCUAUGGCCCAAUAAGCCUUGACUCUUUUCCCAUUGAAUGACAGAGCUUCAGUACCAUAAAGGGAAAACAUUUCUGGGAUGAAUGUUUCUGCACUCCUGUGCAGGCCCUGCAGCUCUGAAUGACCCCAGCAAGAAGAGAAGAAGCAAACCUGGAUUUCCUGCAUGUGGUAGGGGAUUAUUUAUUUAGAAAAUCUUUCUGAAUAUUACCACCAAUCAUUUAUUUCAGCCGUGUUUUAGGAGAAAAUAUCAAGUAGUACUGAAUUUCUUGUAGAGCCUGAUCAGAGUCUUCUCUGGUGGUCUCAAAUACAUUACCACUGAAGAUUACUAUUCCACAUUGUUUGUGGGUUAUGGAUGAAAUUAGGUGUAAAACAGAUUGCAGAGAGCUCUGUCAAACCUAAGGCCCUCAAGAGUCAUACUCGGAAACAGAUUUAGGCACCUGAAUUUUUUCUAUUCAAAGUUUUGAAGAGAAAGUUAGUUACCUUAAAAGAUUGAAAUUAAUAGGAGUCAGGAGGGUCACAAUUCCAGCAUUAGGGACCUACCUUCAAGAUAGCUUUUCCUCUUGGUCCUUACAUACAUUGCUGAGGCUCAGUUAUUAGCAAUAUGAGUUAUCGAGGGUGACCGUAAACAUUUUAAAAGAACUUUUGCACAAUAAGCAGUUUCUCUCCUGAGUUUCCUCGGUUUCCUUCUCCCUUAAAUAAUCAAAAUGCUGCUGCUGUCACGGAGUGCUCUGCUCUGCUACAGAUUAUUUUCUACAUCGGUUCAUGAGUUGCAGUUCUUGUGGACUGCAAAUUAAUCCGUAGGAGUCUGUUGGCAUGUGCUGUACCUCCAGGUUCUCCAGGGUAUUAAUUUGACUAUUGAUGUAGAAAAUGCCAGUGGCUGUAAAGGUAUAUUACGCACUUUAUUUUUUGUGUUUAUUUUUCUGUAUAAUCCAGGAAUUUACUUACAAACAUGUAAUCACUGUGACUGGAUGUUUAGCCUUUAAAGUGGAAUAACAUAUUUUUCAAUUUUGGGGGGAUAGAUUUAAAAAAAAAAAAAAUGAAGAAAGUAAAGCACAUUAUUUUAAAUGAUUUUUCAAAUGAAGCCAUGAAUUAAUAACAUAAUUCUUUGUGACCCAUCUCUACAGGCCGUAUGUACUCUACAAAAUAUAUACUCUAGAAAGUAGCCGUAUAAAAGUCCGGAUUUGUGUGGAGGACACUCAGUCCUGUUCCAAAGAAUUAUGUGUAUGACUGUUUUUAAUUUCUCACAGAAACUAUGGGUCUGGGACCAUGAGAAACCAGAGGCCUGGGACUGAUGCAGGGGAGGGUCCCACCUGUCUGGGGCCCAGACGUUUUGGGAUUUGGGAGUUAAGGAAUGUUCCUGUGCUUCUGUGCACUGUGUUUUCUGCAGCUUGUUCCUGGGCUGUGCCUAGCUACAGUACUUGCAUGGUUUAGUUGGGAGUGGAAAGGUGGAAAGGUCAAAUAUAAGUCAUUGGUUUGUUUUGGUUUGUUUUUCUCUGUAAGUAGGUACUGACUUACCACAACCUGUGUUUGUAUUUACACAGUUUGGAAAGAACAUUUUUCCCCCCCCCCAUAACUGUGAGAGUAAUUGCAAUCCCAAAAGGAUAGAGCUGCCACCCCUCUCCUAAAUAGGGAGGCUCCUGUCUGGGGAUGGGCUAGGGGUCAUUUGCUGGGGAGGGGGAAAUCUGGCCCAUAGGGGGCUCCGGGCAGCUGGGCGAAGGGGUCAAGAAAUGUCAUCGCCCCACUCUGCCGUGUUAAAUGCUAACUGGAAAGCCCUAACACAUAAUUUAAAUCCUUUACACAUGCCACCCUGGAAGCAGAGCCUUAUAUGUAGAGUGCAUGGGCUGUCCUAUUAUGGGAAAUCAACUUUGUUUUGAGGGAAGCACAGAGCACUGCUUCUGCGCAGGUCCUGGAAUUUGAAACAUGUAGGGGCCUCCAAAGAGCAGGGCAUGAGUUACGGUGCCGGCUGGGUGGCAGCGAGGAUCCCCAGCUUGCCGUGCCCGGCACGGACCCUGCUGGCUGCCAGCUGCAUCCCACCGGGGCUCUUGCUGCGUGCUCCCCCACAACCUUGCCGGGGCUUAUGCAGGGACGUGUGUGUCAUUCUGCGGGGACAAGCCUAAUUCAGCGACUGGAGCGGCAAAGUGGGAAUAUACUUUGCCAAGAAACACUUUGCUGUUGUUUUCCUUUUCCUCUGUUUUGUGGAGAGAUUCAUGUCUGCUCACGUGCUUUGGUAUGAGGAAGUGGAAGAUGAUUAGAGCUUCCUCAUUACUGCUAAGAACCAUCCCAGCAGUUACACUGCCAGGCUUGACCCCAAAUCAUCGGCAAGAUACACUAAUCCCUUCUCACUGCCUGAAAGGAUCUUACUCCCUUGCUGCUUUAGAAAGCUAACACCAGAACAAAACAAAACAAAAGACUAUCCUCUCUGGAGCUGUAAUCAUCAAGCAACAAGCAGGAGUUACCAUGGAUUUUAUUUCCAUGGCAUAGAUAAUAUUGCCUCUUGAUCUGUGAAAAUGACUGUUCUCACCUAUAGUACUUUGCUGUUUAUCUCCAAAGAACACAAGUCUCUCACUCUAUGGUGAGGCUCCUCUGAGCCAAGAAAAAUAAGCUAAGUACUCCCCAUAACAUGUUGGGAAAGUCCAACUGUUCCUCAUCUUCUUCCUCAAAAUUAGAUUUGGAGACAUUCCAGUGUCUUCAGCUGUGAGGCAAUUUUGUUUUCUAGUAAAUCUCUACUUCCCAAAUCAUUUUCUCUGACUGACCAUAUAUUUUUAAUUCCCCCUUGAUCCCUGUAAACUCCUGUCUCUUUUCUGUAGGGAUUCUCAAUUUCUCUUGCUGCUUUCCUAGUCCUUCUUACUGCUAGCUACUUGUUUACUGAGGAAGCAAGCAGGUGAUACAGAAAAAUGUGGUUUUCUCCUGGGAACCCAAUUCAUAUCCUCAACUGGGAUAAAAAAUGUGUUUCAGUGUUAUCAGAAAAAACAAUCCUAUCAUUUUCCUGUAUAGUGAAAACAUCUUGUAGUGUGUUUUCCUAGAGAAAGUUGGAAAAAUAUACUAUUUUCAUAUUUAAUAUACACUACAUUUAGUGUUACAAUACCAUGAAAUAUUAAUACACUUACAAAUCUUUUCCCCUGGCCAUUUCCCACGAAACUUGACUGACUGCAGCUUCUCUGAUUUACUAAUUCAUAUGCCUAAGUCUAGUGCAACAAUGCCAUGUUCAAAGAUUUCUUUUGAUAACAACUUUGAAUUGAGUCAUACUGUGAAGAAUGUCUGUGAUGAUUUUCUCUCCUCCUUGUCUUGUGCUUGCAGAGAGGGUGACCUCAUUGCCUGUUCAAAAUUACUGUUAUUUGUCUCCAAUUAGGUUCUCACAACUCUGUGCUGCAGUUCCUUUAAACUCUUGGGAACCUGCAAGCCUGCUGUGGACAAGAUGUUGUGGGAAUUUCCCGGUUCACCCUUGGAUAAUAAUUUUGCUAUUCAAAGAUCACUGUUCCUGGUAUGCAUGUAUAAGAAUAAGUUUCUCCACAAUGGCAAUUAGUUACAAUGAGGAAAAACAAAACAAAACAAAACAAGACAAAACUGAAACAUCACCCAGUAAGGAUCCCUCCUGGCUAUUUUAACAUCUUGGCUAGAGAGCGAGGCUCACUGGCCUUGCCAGCGCACUUCAGGGCUUGACUGCCUUGAAGAAUUGGCUUCUGGGAGACAGGCAACCAGUCUCUACUUGAAGCCAACAAAGAAAUUCUUCCUUUUUAUGUGUUCCUUGUUCUGUGUGAUUUGGCCAUAAGGUAUCACGAGAUUAUCAUUCCUUUUUUUUUUUUUUUUCCUAGUUCAUGUAUGUUUCUCUUACAUACAUUGGUAAUAAUUGGUAAUAGAGUGUUCUGGUUCUAAAAUAGAAGCACUUUCUCCUUCUUUGUAGCUACCCUACAAAAAAAAAAAAAAAAAAAAAAA